rnacentral:ncRNA from 1 species
ACGAAGUUGUCUAGUUUUACAUGCUGGGACUGGGAUCGGACGCUGAGGAUUGUCAGAUUGGUAGCUCUUUUUUGAUUCGAUGUUUGGUGGUGCAUGGCCGUUCUUAGUUGAUAGAGCGAUUUGUACGGUUAAUUCCGAUAACGAACGGGACUUUGGCUUGCUAAAUAGUACGCCUGCCCUCGGUGCUCGUACAGGUAGCGGUGGUCGUUGCCUCCCUGGAAUGAUGGUGCUGUUCGCCGGUGGGUGCGGCGCAGGUGUCUACUUAGGGAGACAAGCGGCGUGCCAGUCGCACGAAACUGAGCAAUGACAGGUCUAUGGUACCGGGGCCGCACGUGUGUUAUGAUGACGGUUUCAACGAGUUUGGGAUCCUAGCCCGAAAUGGUUUUGUAAACUGAACCAUAACCGCCGUGACUGGGAUCGGGGCUUGCAAUGGUCCCCCGUGAACGAGGAAUUCCAGGUAAGUACAAGUCAUAAGCUUGGGCUGAUUACGUCC